UACGUAGGGUGCAAGCGUUAAUCGGAAUUACUGGGCGUAAAGCGUGCGCAGGCGGCUUUGCAAGACAGAAUGUGAAAUCCCCGGGCUCAACCUGGGAACUGCAUUUGUGACUGCAAGGCUGGAGUACGGCAGAGGGGGGUAGAAUUCCACGUGUAGCAGUGAAAUGCGUAGAGAUGUGGAGGAAUACCGAUGGCGAAGGCAGCCCCCUGGGAUAACACUGACGCUCAUGCACGAAAGCGUGGGGAGCAAACAGG
rnacentral:rRNA from 1 species